UGGCUCAGAACGAACGCUGGCGGCAGGCUUAACACAUGCAAGUCGAGCGCCCCGCAAGGGGAGCGGCAGACGGGUGAGUAACACGUGGGAAUCUACCCAUCCCUACGGAACAACUCCGGGAAACUGGAGCUAAUACCGUAUACGCCCUUUGGGGGAAAGAUUUAUCGGGGAUGGAUGAGCCCGCGUUGGAUUAGCUAGUUGGUGGGGUAAAGGCCUACCAAGGCGACGAUCCAUAGCUGGUCUGAGAGGAUGAUCAGCCACAUUGGGACUGAGACA
rnacentral:rRNA from 1 species